rnacentral:pre_miRNA from 15 species
UCCUCCACCUCGAUUCGGGGCUGCCAUUACCAUCUUACUGGGCAGCAUUGGAUGGUGUCUGUGUUUCUAAUACUGCCUGGUAAUGAUGAUGAUGGGGUCCCGCGGACAACGUGGGAAAGU